GGAGGAAAAGAAACCAACAGGGAUUGCCUCAGUAACGGCGAGUGAAGCGGCAAAAGCUCAAAUUUGAAAUCUGGUACCUUUGGUGCCCGAGUUGUAAUUUGAAGAUAGUUUUCUGGUGCUGGCCCUUGUCUAUGUUCCUUGGAACAGGACGUCACAGAGGGUGAGAAUCCCGUCUGGCGGGGUGUCCAGUGCUUUGUAGAUUUCUAUCGACGAGUCGAGUUGUUUGGGAAUGCAGCUCUAAGUGGGUGGUAAAUUCCAUCUAAAGCUAAAUAUUGGCGAGAGACCGAUAGCGAACAAGUACAGUGAUGGAAAGAUGAAAAGAACUUUGAAAAGAGAGUGAAAAAGUACGUGAAAUUGUUGAAAGGGAAGGGUAUUAGAUCAGACUUGGUGUUUUGUGAUUAUCUUCCCUUCUUGGGUUGUGCACUCGCAUUUCACUGGGCCAGCAUCGGUUCGGGUGGUAAGAUAAUGACAUUGGAACGUGGCACUGCCUUCGGGUGGUGUGUUAUAGCCCUUGUUGAUGUUGCCUACCUGGACCGAGGACUGCGGCUUUUGCCUAGGAUGCUGGCGUAAUGAUCUAACACCGC
rnacentral:rRNA from 1 species